UACGUAGGAGGCGAACGUUAUUCGGAUUUACUGGGCGUAAAGGGAGCGUAGGCGGUUCCUCAAGUCGAAUGUGAAAUCUUCCGCCUCAAUCGGAAGGCGCCAUUUGAUACUGGGGGACUUGAGAGCAGCAGAGGGAAAUGGAAUCUCCAGUGUAGCGGUGAAAUGCGUAGAUAUUGGAGAGAACACCAGUGGCGAAAGCGAUUUCCCAGGCUGCUUCUGACGCUGAGGUUCGAAAGCGUGGGGAGCGAAGCGGAUUAGAUACCCGCGUAGUCCACGCCCUAAACGGUGGACACUAGAUAUAGGAGGUAUCGACCCUUUCUGUGUCGAAGCUAACGCUUUAAGUGUCCCGCCUGGGGAGUACGGCCGCAAGGCUGAAACUCAAAGGAAUUGACGGGGGUCCGCACAAGCAGCGGAGCGUGUGGUUUAAUUCGAUGCUACACGAAGAACCUUACCAGGACUUGACAUGUCAGAAGUAGGAUUCCGAAAGGAGGACGACCUGUAUCCAGUCAGGAGCUGUCACAGGUGCUGCAUGGCUGUCGUCAGCUCGUGCCGUGAGGUGUUGGGUUAAGUCCCGCAACGAGCGCAACCCUUGUCCCAUGUUAAAUUCUCAUGGGAGACUGCCUUGUACAGCAAGGAGGAAGGAAAGGAUGACGUCAAGUCAGCACGGCCUUUAUGUCCUGGGCCACACACACGCUACAAUGGACGAUACAGAGGGUUGCCAAGGAGCGAUCCGGAGCUAAUCCCCGAAAAUCGUCCCCAGUUCGGAUUGUAGGCUGAAAUCGCCUGCAUGAAGUCGGAGUUGCUAGUAACCGCAGGUCAGCUAUACUGCGGUGAAUACGUUCUCGGACCU
rnacentral:rRNA from 1 species